AUGUUGAGAUACUGGGGAGAGAUACCAAUGUCAUCAAGUCAGACUAACAGAAGUUCCUUUGAUCUGCUUACAUGGGAGUUCUGUCUGGUAGAAGUUCAUGAUCCACCCCUGCACCAACCCUCAGCAAUAAGUCCAAGCCCCCCACUAUGCUGGACAUCCCCUCAGAGCCAUGCAGCCUCACCAUCCAUACCAUUCAGUUGAUCCAACACAACCAACGUCUUUGCAACCUUAUUGUCACAGCUCAGGCCCAGAAUCAGCAGCAGACAGAAGGUGUAAAAACUGAAGAGAGUAAACCUCUUCCUUCCUGCCUGGGUCACCUCCUCUCCCUGAUGAUCUCCUACCUUUAGAUUGUAAGAAUCCUAAUGCACUGUUCCAGAUCCAGCACAGUGAUCCAGAGAGUGACUUUUAUCAUGGAAAAGGGGAACCUGUGACUGAACUCAGUUGGCACUCUUGUCGGCAGCUCCUCUACUAGGCAGUAGCCACAAUCCUGGCCUACGUAGGCUUCGAAUGUGCUAAUGAAAGUGUUCUAGAGACCCUAAUUGAUGUGGCACAUGAGUAUUGCCUUAAGUUCACCAAGUUGCUGUGCUUUGCUGUGUAUCAGAAGGCCCAGCUGGGACAGACUCCUUUCCCUGGUGUUAUGGAGCAGGUAUUCCAUGAAGUGGGUAUUGGUAGUGUGCUCUCCCUCUAGAAGUUCUGGCAGCACCGCAUCAAGGACUAUCACAGUUACAUGCUACAGAUUAGUAAGCAGCUUUCUGAAGAAUAUGAAAGGAUUGUCAGUCCUGAGAAAGCCACAGAGGACACUAAACCUGUGAAGAUAAAGGAGGAACCUGCGAGUGACAUCACCUUUCCUGUCAGUGAAGAACUGGAGGCUGACCUUGCUUCCGGGGACCAGUUACUACCCAUGGGAGUCCUCGGGGUUCAGAGUGAGUGCUUUCCAUCUAAUCUGGAGGUUGAAGCUUCACCACAGGCUUCAAGCGCAGAGGUAAAUGCUUCUCCUCUUUGGAAUCUGGCCCACGUGAAAAUGGAGCCUCAAGAGAGUGAAGAAGGCAAUGUUUCUGCACAUGAUGUGCUGGGCAAUGAUGUCUUCGAGGAGCCCAUGUCAGGCAUGAGUGAAGCUGGGAUCCCUCAGAGCCCUGAUGAGUCAGACAGCAGCUAUGGUUCCCACUGCACUGAUAGCCUCAUGGGGUCCUCCCCUGUUUUCAACCAGUGCUGCAAGAAGAGGAUGAGGAAGAAUAAAAGGAGAUUUCCUUUUAUUCCUUUUAUUCUAGUACUUCUAGAAAGGAAUAAAAAGAAUAAAAGGAGAUUUCCUAUCUAG